GAAACUAACAGAAGUGAUAAAACAAAU
rnacentral:piRNA from 1 species